AGUCGAACGAUGAAGCCCAGAUUGCUGGGUGGAUUAGUGGCGAACGGGUGAGUAACACGUGGGUGAUCUGCCCUGCACUUCGGGAUAAGCCUGGGAAACUGGGUCUAAUACCGGAUACGACCAAAGGCUGCAUGGUUUUUGGUGGAAAGGUUUACCGGUGCAGGAUGAGCCCGCGGCCUAUCAGCUUGUUGGUGGGGUAAUGGCCUACCAAGGCGACGACGGGUAGCCGGCCUGAGAGGGCGACCGGCCACACUGGGACUGAGACACGGCCCAUACUCCUACGGGAGGCAGCAGUGGGGAAUAUUGCACAAUGGGCGAAAGCCUGAUGCAGCGACGCCGCGUGAGGGAUGACGGCCUUCGGGUUGUAAACCUCUUUCAGCAGGGACGAAGCGCAAGUGACGGUACCUGCAGAAGAAGCACCGGCCAACUACGUGCCACCAGCCGCGGUAAUACGUACGGUGCGAGCGUUGUCCGGAAUUACUGGGCGUAAAGAGCUCAUAGGCGGUUUGUCGCGUCCUCUGUGAAAACCCGCAGCUCAACUGCGGGCUUGCAGGCGAUACGGGCAKACUUGAGUACUGCAGGGGAGACUGGAAUUCCUGGUGUAGCGGUGAAAUGCGCAGAUAUCAGGAGGAACACCGGUGGCGAAGGCGGGUCUCUGGGCAGUAACUGACGCUGAGGAGCGAAAGCGUGGGUAGCGAACAGGAUUAGAUACCCUGGUAGUCCACGCCGUAAACGGUGGGCGCUAGGUGUGGGUUUCCUUCCACGGGAUCCGUGCCGUAGCUAACGCAUUAAGCGCCCCGCCUGGGGAGUACGGCCGCAAGGCUAAAACUCAAAGGAAUUGACGGGGGCCCGCACAAGCGGCGGAGCAUGUGGAUUAAUUCGAUGCAACGCGAAGAACCUUACCUGGGUUUGACAUAUACCGGACCGCCGUAGAGAUACGGUUUCCCUUGUGGUCGGUAUACAGGUGGUGCAUGGCUGUCGUCAGCUCGUGUCGUGAGAUGUUGGGUUAAGUCCCGCAACGAGCGCAACCCUUGUCCUGUGUUGCCAGCACGUAAUGGUGGGGACUCGCAGGAGACUGCCGGGGUCAACUCGGAGGAAGGUGGGGACGACGUCAAGUCAUCAUGCCCCUUAUGUCCAGGGCUUCACACAUGCUACAAUGGCCGGUACAGAGGGCUGCGAUACCGUGAGGUGGAGCGAAUCCCUUAAAGCCGGUCUCAGUUCGGAUCGGGGUCUGCAACUCGACCCCGUGAAGUCGGAGUCGCUAGUAAUCGCAGAUCAGCAACGCUGCGGUGAAUACGUUCCCGGGCCUUGUACACACCGCCCGUCACGUCAUGAAAGUCGGUAACACCCGAAGCCGGGUCCAACCC
rnacentral:rRNA from 1 species